rnacentral:rRNA from 1 species
CACUAUCGUUAACUGAAUACAUAGGUUAACGAGGCGAACCGGGGGAACUGAAACAUCUAAGUACCCCGAGGAAAAGAAAUCAACCGAGAUUCCCCCAGUAGCGGCGAGCGAACGGGGAGCAGCCCAGAGUCUGAAUCAGCUUGUGUGUUAGUGGAACGGUCUGGAAAGUCCGACGGUACAGGGUGAUAGUCCCGUACACCAAAAUGCACAGGCUGUGAACUCGAAGAGUAGGGCGGGACACGUGGUAUCCUGUCUGAAUAUGGGGGGACCAUCCUCCAAGGCUAAAUACUCCUGACUGACCGAUAGUGAACCAGUACCGUGAGGGAAAGGCGAAAAGAACCCCGGCGAGGGGAGUGAAAAAGAACCUGAAACCGUGUACGUACAAGCAGUGGGAGCACCUUCGGGUGUGACUGCGUACCUUUUGUAUAAUGGGUCAGCGACUUAUAUUCUGUAGCAAGGUUAACCGUAUAGGGGAGCCGCAGGGAAACCGAGUCUUAACUGGGCGUUAAGUUGCAGGGUAUAGACCCGAAACCCGGUGAUCUAGCCAUGGGCAGGUUGAAGGUUGGGUAACACUAACUGGAGGACCGAACCGACUAAUGUUGAAAAAUUAGCGGAUGACUUGUGGCUGGGGGUGAAAGGCCAAUCAAACCGGGAGAUAGCUGGUUCUCCCCGAAAGCUAUUUAGGUAGCGCCUCGUGAAUUCAUCUUCGGGGGUAGAGCACUGUUUCGGCUAGGGGGUCAUCCCGACUUACCAACCCGAUGCAAACUACGAAUACCGAAGAAUGUUAUCACGGGAGACACACGGCGGGUGCUAACGUCCGUCGUGAAGAGGGAAACAACCCAGACCGCCAGCUAAGGUCCCAAAGUCAUGGUUAAGUGGGAAACGAUGUGGGAAGGCACAGACAGCCAGGAUGUUGGCUUAGAAGCAGCCAUCAUUUAAAGAAAGCGUAAUAGCUCACUGGUCGAGUCGGCCUGCGCGGAAGAUGUAACGGGGCUAAACCAUGCACCGAAGCUGCGGCAGCGACACUAUGUGUUGUUGGGUAGGGGAGCGUUCUGUAAGCCUGCGAAGGUGUGCUGUGAGGCAUGCUGGAGGUAUCAGAAGUGCGAAUGCUGACAUAAGUAACGAUAAAGCGGGUGAAAAGCCCGCUCGCCGGAAGACCAAGGGUUCCUGUCCAACGUUAAUCGGGGCAGGGUGAGUCGACCCCUAAGGCGAGGCCGAAAGGCGUAGUCGAUGGGAAACAGGUUAAUAUUCCUGUACUUGGUGUUACUGCGAAGGGGGGACGGAGAAGGCUAUGUUAGCCGGGCGACGGUUGUCCCGGUUUAAGCAUGUAGGCUGGUUGUCCAGGCAAAUCCGGAUAAUCAAGGCUGAGGUGUGAUGACGAGGCACUACGGUGCUGAAGUAACAAAUGCCCUGCUUCCAGGAAAAGCCUCUAAGCAUCAGGUAACAUCAAAUCGUACCCCAAACCGACACAGGUGGUCAGGUAGAGAAUACCAAGGCGCUUGAGAGAACUCGGGUGAAGGAACUAGGCAAAAUGGUGCCGUAACUUCGGGAGAAGGCACGCUGGUGUGUAGGUGAAGUCCCUGCGGAUGGAGCUGAGACCAGUCGAAGAUACCAGCUGGCUGCAACUGUUUAUUAAAAACACAGCACUGUGCAAACACGAAAGUGGACGUAUACGGUGUGACGCCUGCCCGGUGCCGGAAGGUUAAUUGAUGGGGUUAUCCGUAAGGAGAAGCUCUUGAUCGAAGCCCCGGUAAACGGCGGCCGUAACUAUAACGGUCCUAAGGUAGCGAAAUUCCUUGUCGGGUAAGUUCCGACCUGCACGAAUGGCGUAAUGAUGGCCAGGCUGUCUCCACCCGAGACUCAGUGAAAUUGAACUCGCUGUGAAGAUGCAGUGUACCCGCGGCAAGACGGAAAGACCCCGUGAACCUUUACUAUAGCUUGACACUGAACAUUGAGCCUUGAUGUGUAGGAUAGGUGGGAGGCUUUGAAGCGUGGACGCCAGUCUGCGUGGAGCCAACCUUGAAAUACCACCCUUUAAUGUUUGAUGUUCUAACGUUGGCCCCUGACCGGGGUUGCGGACAGUGUCUGGUGGGUAGUUUGACUGGGGCGGUCUCCUCCCAAAGCGUAACGGAGGAGCACGAAGGUUAGCUAAUCCUGGUCGGACAUCAGGAGGUUAGUGCAAUGGCAUAAGCUAGCUUGACUGCGAGCGUGACGGCGCGAGCAGGUGCGAAAGCAGGUCAUAGUGAUCCGGUGGUUCUGAAUGGAAGGGCCAUCGCUCAACGGAUAAAAGGUACUCCGGGGAUAACAGGCUGAUACCGCCCAAGAGUUCAUAUCGACGGCGGUGUUUGGCACCUCGAUGUCGGCUCAUCACAUCCUGGGGCUGAAGUAGGUCCCAAGGGUAUGGCUGUUCGCCAUUUAAAGUGGUACGCGAGCUGGGUUUAGAACGUCGUGAGACAGUUCGGUCCCUAUCUGCCGUGGGCGCUGGAGAAUUGAGGGGGGCUGCUCCUAGUACGAGAGGACCGGAGUGGACGCAUCACUGGUGUUCGGGUUGUCAUGCCAAUGGCACUGCCCGGUAGCUAAAUGCGGAAGAGAUAAGUGCUGAAAGCAUCUAAGCACGAAACUUGCCCCGAGAUGAGUUCUCCCUGAGACUUUAAGUCUCCUGAAGGAACGUUGAAGACGACGACGUUGAUAGGCCGGGUGUGUAAGCGCAGCGAUGCGUUGAGCUAACCGGUACUAAUGAACCGUGAGGCUUAACCUU